CUGCUAUGAUAGAGGGUGUAACCGUUGGUGCAUUACAAUCAUAAUGGAAGCAUCACAAUGAUGGAAGCAUCACCAUGAUGAAAGCAUCAUAAUGAUGAAAACACCAUAAUGAUGAAACAUCAUAAUGAUGUUUCUUUGGUGGAAUUGUUUUUCAUUUCCCCUAACACCCUGAAUUGGUUUUCAAUAUAAGACCAUCAUCUGUAGCUCGAAUCACAAAGUUGUCUUCAUGAAAGUUGUUCUUUAAUUCCUUAACGACAACAUAUCCAAAUUUGAGAGCCAUCAGAUCAGUACAACUCUAGAAAUUCAGGUACGACGAGUGAUUGUUCAUCAUUUGUCUGUCAACACGUCAGACCUGUUGUGAGCUUCAAAAACUCCAUUUUCUCUUGCUCAGAUCAACAUACUUGCUUCAUCGAAGUUGUUCCUUAACUUGUGAACUACAACAUAUCCAAAUUUGAGAUCCCUCGGAGCAGUAUAACUCCAGAAAUCCAGGUAUGAUGAAUGACUGGUUAUUAUUUUUCUGUCAACCCGUCAGAUUUGUUGUGAUCUUUGAAACUCCAUUUUCUCUUGCUCAGAUCAGCAUGCUUUCUUCAUUGAAGUUGUUCCUCAGCUUGUGAACUACAACAUAUCCAAAUUUGAGGUCCCUCGGACCAGUAUAACUCCAGAAAUCCAGGUAUGAUGAGUGACUGGUUAUCAUUUGUCUGUCAACCCGUCAGAUUUGUUGUGAGCUUUGAAACUCUAUUUUCUCUUGCUCAGAUCAGCAUGCUUUCUUCAUUGAAGUUGUUCCUUAACUUGUGAACUACAACAUAUCCAAAUUUGAGGUCCCUCGGAGCAGUAUAACUCCAGAAAUCCAGGUAUGAUGAAUGACUGGUUAUUAUUUUUCUGUCAACCCGUCAGAUUUGUUGUGAGCUUUGAAACUCCAUUUUCUCUUGCUCAGAUCAGCAUGCUUUCUUCAUUGAAGUUGUUCCUCAUCGUCUCUUUCAUAACAUAUCAAAAAUUCAGAAUGAA
rnacentral:lncRNA from 1 species